UUUUGGCCUUCAUAACAUUGCUCAGCUGGGAGCUCUGGUGUCUGACCAUGGCGCCUGGGAGCUAGAGGGUCCAUCUGCAAUGGCAUGAGGCUGGGCUUACCCGCCACCCACGAUCUGCUCUAGCGCAGAUGAGACAGGGAAGACAAGCUCACACCCCGGCACAGGUUUGGGCAGUGAUGGCUGUUGGGUUAUUUGCUGUGCUUGCGGGAGGUCUUGUCCAGGCCAGUGGAGCAGCCCAGCCAGAUGAGGACCUGAGCAGCCUGGACAUCCCUCAUGGCAGGAGCUGAGGAGCCCAAGAGUUCUGUCUGGUGAUGGAGGAGGAGCAGCUGUAUGUUUUGCUGAAAUGAUGUCUCUCUAUCAAGUGUCUGAGUAGCAAGUUCCUAAUGACAUUGGGCAGAUGAGAGAAUGGCCAACCUGGAGGAGAGACCAGGAGAAGGAGCAUCCACCCUGAGCCCAUUCGGCAGAAUGGAAACCAGACAGCGAGCUGUGAAGUAGGCGCAAAUGGAAAUUUACUUAAGGGAACACUUGUGGAGGAUUAGUUCAGCUCCAUCCUGAGAUGGAGAGCAAAACUAGCCUGGCCUCAAGACAGAUGCCAGGCAAGACCAGCGGGGAGCAAAGAAGCUGUUUUUGUCACUAAGAUAAGUGUUUGUCUCCUAAUGGCUGUGGUGACAGCCCUGAUGACUACAGAGAGCACUUCCCUUAGGCUGGGGCUAAUAUCCAAUAAAAGGUUCCCAACUAGCUCUGGGGGCAGGUGGAGAAUUUCUCCAUCUUGAGAACUGCUGAUCUUCCUUGGCAAAUUCUAAUGUGUAUUUCUAGUGCAACUCCCCACUGAGCCCUGAUACCUCAUGGGAGUUGUUGUCUUCUCUUGCCUGUGUUUCUAGAUUAAGGUGACCUGGGCACUGCUUGGUGCAGCUGGAUGUAUGUUCAGUGAUUGAUCAGUAGGGUGGGUUUUCUGUUUUUUGUUUUUUGUUUUUGUUUUGGGUUUUUUUGGUAACUUUUGCUUUUGCAACGACUCUAGUCAGGCCUAAAAAUUUGUUCCCUAGAGUUAUCCCAGGCUUCUCCCAUCCCAUCCCAUCCCAUCCCUGUUGCAGCAGCCUAGUCCCCAGUAGGAAAAAUUAGCUUAAUGAAUACUUUACUUUAGGUGAAUUUUGUGUGUAGAACCUCUAGAGUUAGGAACACCAGAAUUACAUACUGACAUGUCAAACACGCUCCUCAUUUGGAACAUUUGGAAAAUAUGUAAUCAGGUAGCAGCAGAGAUUAUAUUAUUUAAAAAAAGCAAAUGGAGUAUAGUAGUGAAUUAAAUGUAAACGAUUUUUUAAAAAAGGGAAAGCUUUAAAAAAAAAUUUGAAAAGGUAAGGAAACUGUUUCUGUGCUUGUUUUCAUUUAAAUUAAGAUGGUUAAAAGCAGCAUUUUUUUUUUUUUUUACAUAGUAAAGUUUUAAAGCUGUAUUCAAUCUAUGUUCAGUUCUAAACUUUUGAAAGAAAAGCCAUAACAUUUUGUUCAGAGUUAUUCCUGGGGUAUUUGUAAUGCUGAGGUUUGACUGUAAUUGCUGGGGAUGGUCCUGUGCCUGCAAAUGUUCAAAGGAUAUGCAUCUAAUGUUACGCACAUGCAUAAGUCUCUGCAGGAUUAGGAUUAGUCUCUGCAGUCCCUCCCUGAACUCAGUUACAUAAAGGACAGACCUUUGCUUCAGAGUUAGACUUUCUCUUCAAGCUCAUUUUUAAAAACUCCAGUUUAUAAAGACUGCAGUAUAAACAAGUUUUUCCAGUGAAACAUUACUAAAUUAGUAUUUGAUGCUUUUAAGAGUACCAAGAGCAGUAGCCUUGAAAGUGUGAGGAGUGACAUUCACUGCUCCAAUGCGCGGUCAUUAUAUAACAUCAGUCAGGCUACAUUAGCUUCUCUUGAGGGUUUUUCAUGCAGAAAUUGAAAGGAAAGAGGAUAUAAUCCUCCGCAUUUUACUAAUGGGGAAACGAACGCAUCACAGUAGCAGGCUUUCUCCAGGCAGUAAUGAUGUAGUUGUCUUGGUGUUUAAAAAGCUCAAAACAAAACCAAAAAAAGUUUGCAUUGGUGGACUAUGGAAUCUAGCCACUCCUUAUUCACUUUCUCCAUGCCGUUCAUGAUUUUAUAGACCUCUAUCAUAUCCCCCUUAGUAAUCUCUUUUCUAAAUUGAACCGUGCCAGUAUUUUUAAUCUCUCCUCCUAUGGAAGUUUUUUCAUAUCCAUAAUCGUUGCUGUUGCCCUUUUCCCUGCACCUUUUCCAAUUCUAAUACAUCUGUUUUGAGAUAGGGUGACCAAAACUGACCGCAGUAAUCGAUGUGUGGGCGUACCAUGGAUUCAUAUAGUGGUCUUAUGAUGUUUUCUGUCUCGUGUCUCCCUUUACUAAAUGGUUCCUAACCUUCUGUUAGAUCACUGUGCAGUGGCAGUCCAAAAGUACGUGAGGGCCUUCCGUUACGCACCACAGUUAGCAGCUACGCAAUUCUAUAUACGAGUUCCUUCAGAACUCCUGGGUGAAUACCCUCUGAUCCUGGUGACUUAUUACUAUUUAAUCAAUUUGUUCCAAAACAUCCUCUAUUGACACCUCAGUCUGGGAUAGUUCUUCAGAUUUGUCACCGAGCAGGAAUGGCUCAGAGGAGGGAAUCACGUUCUCUGCAGUGAAGACCAAUGCAAAUAAUUCAAUUAGUUUCUCUGCAAUGGCCUUGUCUUCCUGGAGUCCUCCUUUAGCACCUUGAUCAUCCAGUAGCCCUACUGAUUGUUUGUCAGGCUUCCUGCUUCUGAUGUACUUUAAAAUAAUUUUUCAGUUAGUUUUUCUGUGUUUUGCAAGUUGCUUUUCAAAUUCUUUUUUGGCCUAGCUAACUCUACUUUUGUAUAGUCAGAUCUAUAAGAGAUCUAUAUAUUAUCUCGGAGAGGGACUCUCCCACUAUGCCCCAUCAUAGCAGUUCUUGCUCACAACCUAUCAACUUCUGGAAAGAGACUCAACUAUCUUGGAAAAAGUUGACAGUGAAGAGUUACAAAGGGACCUCAGAAAACUGGGUGAUUGGGCAACAAAAUGACAGAUAAAGUUCAAUGUUAAUUAGCUGUUCCCAUGCAAGAAAAAAAUUUUGGAGUCAUGUGGAUAGUUCUUUGUAAACAUCUGUUCAAUGUGCAGCAGCGCAAAAAAGCCAACAGAAUGUUAGGAACUAUUAGGAAAGGGAAAAAUAAUAAAACAGAAAAUACCAUAAGGCCACUAUGUAAAUCUUAAAUAUGCCCACACCUUGAAUACUGCAUACAGUUUUAGUUACCCCCAUCUCACAAAAGACAUAUUAGCAUUGGAAAAGGU